rnacentral:rRNA from 1 species
AUACGGAGGGUGCAAGCGUUAUUCGGAAUCACUGGGCGUAAAGGACGCGUAGGCGGGUUGGCAAGUCGGUUGUGAAAUCCUACAGCUUAACUGUAGAACUGCAUUUGAAACUGCUAACCUAGAGUAUGGGAGGGGGAGAUGGAAUUAGUGGUGUAGGGGUAAAAUCCGUAGAUAUCACUAGGAAUACCGAAAGCGAAGGCGAUCUCCUGGAACAUAACUGACGCUAAGGCGUGAAAGCGUGGGGAGCAAACAGGAUUAGAAACCCUAGUAGUCC